AGUGAACGCUGGCGGUAGGCCUAACACAUGCAAGUCGAACGGCAGCACAGUAAGAGCUUGCUCUUGCGGGUGGCGAGUGGCGGACGGGUGAGGAAUACAUCGGAAUCUACUUUUUCGUGGGGGAUAACGUAGGGAAACUUACGCUAAUACCGCAUACGACCUACGGGUGAAAGCAGGGGAUCUUCGGACCUUGCGCGAUUGAAUGAGCCGAUGUCGGAUUAGCUAGUUGGCGGGGUAAAGGCCCACCAAGGCGACGAUCCGUAGCUGGUCUGAGAGGAUGAUCAGCCACACUGGAACUGAGACACGGUCCAGACUCCUACGGGAGGCAGCAGUGGGGAAUAUUGGACAAUGGGCGCAAGCCUGAUCCAGCCAUACCGCGUGGGUGAAGAAGGCCUUCGAGUUGUAAAGCCCUUUUGUUGGGAAAGAAAAGCAGCAGGUUAAUACCCCGCUGUUCUGACGGUACCCAAAGAAUAAGCACCGGCUAACUUCGUG
rnacentral:rRNA from 1 species